CAUGCCUUAAACGAUGUAUACUAGGAGUAAGAGGGCUCAACCCCCCUUGUUCCGGAGCUAACGCAUUAAGUAUACCGCCUGGGGANGCAACGCGAAGAACCUUACCUGGGCUAGAAGUGUAGAGGACGACAUCAGAGAUGAUGUUUCUCGAAAGGGUCUUUACAUAGGUGC
rnacentral:rRNA from 1 species